rnacentral:rRNA from 1 species
CCUACGGGAGGCAGCAGUGGGGAAUAUUGCACAAUGGGCGAAAGCCUGACCCAGCAACGCCGCGUGAAGGAAGAAGGCUUUCGGCUUGUAAACUUCUUUUAACAGGGACGAAAGAAAUGCCGGUACUUGCGUAAGAAGCCCCGGCUAACUACGGGCCACCAGCCGCGGGAAUACGUAGGGGGCAAGCGUUAUCCGGAUUUAUUGGGUGUAAAGGGGGAGUAGGCGGCAUGGUAAGCCAGAUGUGAAAGCCUGGGGCUUAACCCGAGAACUGCAUUUGAAACUGUCGGGCUUGAGUACAGGAGAGGAAAGCGGAAUUCCUGGUGUAGCGGUGAAAUGCGUAGAUAUUAGGAAGAACACCAGUGGCGAAGGCGGCUUGCUGGACGGCAACUGACGCUGAGGCGCGAAAGCGUGGGGAGCAAACAGGAUUAGAUACCCUAGUAGUC